CUGAGAGGAUGACCAGCCACACUGGAACUGAGACACGGUCCAGACUCCUACGGGAGGCAGCAGUGGGGAAUAUUGCACAAUGGGCGCAAGCCUGAUGCAGCCAUGCCGCGUGUAUGAAGAAGGCCUUCGGGUUGUAAAGUACUUUCAGCGGGGAGGAAGGGAGUAAAGUUAAUACCUUUGCUCAUUGACGUUACCCGCAGAAGAAGCACCGGCUAACUCCGUGCCAGCAGCCGCGGUAAUACGGAGGGUGCAAGCGUUAAUCGGAAUUACUGGGCGUAAAGCGCACGCAGGCGGUUUGUUAAGUCAGAUGUGAAAUCCCCGGGCUCAACCUGGGAACUGCAUCUGAUACUGGCAAGCUUGAGUCUCGUAGAGGGGGGUAGAAUUCCAGGUGUAGCGGUGAAAUGCGUAGAGAUCUGGAGGAAUAUCGGUGGCGAAGGCGGCCCCCUGGACGAAGACUGACGCUCAGGUGCGAAAGCGUGGGGAGCAAACAGGAUUAGAUA
rnacentral:rRNA from 1 species